rnacentral:lncRNA from 1 species
CUGGAUAAACUUCUACACGUUCGCCAAGAAAACCAAAAUGACUCAUCACCACGUGAGGAAUGAGCCCACAUCGACACCCUACAAUGAUUCAGCGGUCCCCAAGGGCUCGAAACCGGAACCGGUUCACUCCAACGGAUGCCGAUGAGCAUGAUUGUGGGGCUUCUACACCAGCUGUCGCCUAACGUCAGCGGACUCACGCUUUUAUCCUGAGUGCUGCCGCCCGCCAGCUCUCCGCAGCAGAGGCCACAGCUGGAUCUGACACGUGGCAUCAUAUCAUAGGCUUGACAGCCCGGCUUUGGUUUUUAAAAUGGACAGCGAUCGAACCAACCGUACGGUGGUCCGUUCGCUCGAACAAAAAUCAUAUGGCGGGCACUACAAAAAAUCAUAUGAGGCUG